AGGGUUAGGUGUAGGGUUAGAUUUUAGGGUUGAUUAAGGGUUAAGGUUAGGGUUAGGUAUAGGGUUAGAUUUUAGGGUUGAUUAAGGGUUAAGGUUAGGGUUAGGUAUAGGGUUAGAUUUUAGGGUU